rnacentral:lncRNA from 1 species
AGAAUGGUCUGUGGUCGUUUCGAAGCGCUCAGAACGUGUAUUGGAUUUGGCGGAGUUGUCCAUAACAUGUUGUGGUUGCUUCACCAUGGCCACCAGGCGAAAUACUUCAACAUUAUUCCAAGCGAAAUAAUGUUGAGCAUCGGUGUCUGGUCGUUUGGAACUGGUCACGGUGUAUUGUGGCUGUUUUUUUUUUCGAUCAUUUGCUAUGAACGAUAUUACGCCCAUGUUUGGGCGUAAUACCGUCCAUAUACCGUGAGUUUUUCUGGAAACCGAACACUGAUUUUUGGCAUCGAGCCAAUUCUGAUGGCUCU